UCUCAUUCUUUCCAUCUCUUCAUCCCGCAAAGUCGUCUUUAUUUUCUCUCGUUAUUUUUUUUUAUGUGAAUGUGAAUCUGUUUUGCUUUGUUUAUAGUUUGAUUUUCCUGUUUGGAUCGGAAAUUUACGUUGAUAUUUUUUUUCUCUUCUUCGUUAAUUCGUAUUUUCGGAUCUACUUUACAAAUUUGUGUAUCUGAGAUGCGAGAUCGUUCUGUUUCUAAUAUUCGAUUCGAAUCGAUUCUAAACCGGAUUCUAACAUUUUCGUAGAAGCUGAGCUGAAUUUCCGUAGCUUACAAUUUAGCUUUCAUUUGAUUUCAUUCAAAUUAAGAGAUUAAAUAAAGUUUUUCAUAGCUCUGUUUUGAAUUAGUCUUUUAGAUCUUGCGGUAGUUUGAACAUCGAUGUUCAUGUGAAAUUGCGAAACUGCUAUAGUGCACACAUAAACUUAGAUCUGGAUUUUCAAUGUUUCACAUUGAGCUGCACGGACUUCAAAGUUUGGUAUCUGUUUGAAAUAGCAGCAACUGCGUUUUAUUUAGAGUGAAAUGACAGAUCUCAAACUUAGUAGCUUAGUAACUGGACUUCAAAAACCAGAAACAUGUUGUCAAAGAGGCAGAAUAUGGCUGAACAUGUUUAGUCAGAGACGAAACCAACCGAUGCAGAGCAACAUGAAGAUUAUCUAUGUCAGUCGGACCUUUUUGUCUAUAAUCGGUGGAGUAGUUGCUGGAAUUUUGGGUUUACAGGCUUCAAAGGAUUUGUCUUAUACUUUCUGCUAAUGUCUUUUACUUCACUUGUGCUCCUAGCAAAAUCUAAAAUUUCAAUCCACUCAUACUUUGACUCCCGGAAUCGAGUGCUACUGGAUGGCUUUCUAGGUGGUCUAAUGUCAUUCGUGCUGUUCUGGACGUAUCCUUCUCGUUUACAAUAUUUGGUAGUACAUCUGCAAACUAAUUUAUUUAACGCCAUAAAUCUGUUAAAACUUAAAAAUGGAGAACUUAUAUGACUAGCAUUAUUUGGAUGGAUUGGAAUUGGAUUUAGAGGGUAUUAGAACUUAAAAUGGAGUGGAAUUGGUUUUGGAGGGGAUUCCAAAUGGUUCCACGUUACCUAAACUUUCGAAAUAUUUGUUGCCCUAUUUUUCCUAGAGAGUAGCUGUCCCAGAUUAUUGACAAAAACAGCUUAUUAAGAGUUCAUUUAUCUUAUUCCCAUAUUCUUAUCAUUAUAUUCUCCUUCUUUGACAAACUAAAUAUUUGCAUACGACGUUGUACAUAUAUUUUGAUCGAAAGUCGUCUGGAAAUGCCUUUAAAAAGGCAACUUUUGGCGUCUGGUGCUGAUUUCGCUGCUUGCUAGAUUGCUUUACAGGACCAUCUAGUUACUGGAUAGCUUCAUGAUGACUUUGUAAGCUCUACUUCCAUUGGGGAUUAUGUAAUCUUAGAGAGGAAGCAAUUUUGUUAAAUUGGACUCGGGGAGAUUAUUCUAUAGACUUGUUUUGUAUAUGUAGCGAUUUAUUUUGGCAUUUAGUUUAAGUUGCUUCUUAACGAAAAUAUGAUGUUUCACCUGCAGCUUUCUGUGAUGAAACUCCUUGAUUGACAAGGUAAGACCGCAUUCUGGUAUCCAUUGUACAACCUUAAGUCUCUAGUAUAUAUGCCCACUGAUUUCUAAAUUCAACUGUGCGCUUUU